GGGGAAUCUUGCACAAUGGGCGAAAGCCUGAUGCAGCCAUGCCGCGUGAAUGAUGAAGGCCUUAGGGUUGUAAAAUUCUUUCGCCAGGGAUGAUAAUGACAGUACCUGGUAAAGAAGCCCCGGCUAACUUCGUGCCAGCAGCCGCGGUAAUACGAAGGGGGCUAGCGUUGUUCGGAAUUACUGGGCGUAAAGCGCGCGUAGGCGGGCUAUUAAGCCAGAUGUGAAAGCCCGGGGCUCAACCUCGGAAUUGCAUUUGGAACUGGUAGCCUAGAGACCAGGAGAGGUUAGCGGAAUACCGAGUGUAGAGGUGAAAUUCGUAGAUAUUCGGUGGAACACCAGUGGCGAAGGCGGCUAACUGGACUGGUACUGACGCUGAGGCGCGAAAGUGUGGGGAGCAAACAGG
rnacentral:rRNA from 1 species